rnacentral:rRNA from 1 species
GUACGAUCGCAAGAUUAAAACUCAAAGGAAUUGACGGGGCCCCGCACAAGCAGCGGAGCAUGCGGCUUAAUUCGACGCAACGCGAAGAACCUUACCAAGGCUUGACAUAUAGGGAAAAGUGGCAGAGAUGUCAUGUCCGCAAGGGCCCUAUACAGGUGGUGCAUGGUUGUCGUCAGCUCGUGUCGUAAGAUGUUGGGUUAAGUCCCGCAACGAGCGCAACCCUCGUUCUGUGUUGCCAGCAUUUAGUUGGGGACUCACAGGAGACUGCCGGGGUUAACUCGGAGGAAGGUGGGGAUGACGUCAAAUCAUCAUGCCCCUUAUGUCUUGGGCUGCACGCAUGCUACAAUGGCCGGUACAGAGGGCUGCAAUACCGUAAGGUGGAGCGAAUCCCAAAAAGCCGGUCUCAGUUCGGAUUGAGGUCUGCAACUCGACCUCAUGAAGUUGGAGUUGCUAGUAAUCGUAGAUCAGCAACGCUACGGUGAAUACGUUCCCGGGGCUUGUACACACCGCCCGUCACGUCACGAAAGUCGGUAACACCCAA